rnacentral:rRNA from 1 species
CCUACGGGUGGCAGCAGUGGGGAAUAUUGCACAAUGGGGGAAACCCUGAUGCAGCGACGCCGCGUGAGUGAGGAAGUAUUUCGGUAUGUAAAGCUCUAUCAGCAGGGAAGAAAAUCACGGUACCUGACUAACAAUCCCCGGCGAACUACGUUCCAGCCGCCGCGGUAAUACGGAAGGGGCAAGCGUUAUCCGGAUUUACUGGGUGUAAGGGGAGCGUAGGCGGCUAAUCAAGUCAGAAGUGAAAACCCAGGGCUCAACUUUGGGACUGCUUUUGAAACUGAGUAGCUAGAGUGCAGGGGAGGUAGGUGGAAUUCGUAGUGUAGCGGUGAAAUGCGUAGAUAUUAGGAGGAACACCGGUGGCGAAGGCAGCUUGCUGGAGUGGAACUGACGUUGAGGCUCGAAAGCGUGGGGAGCGAACAGGAUUAGAUACCCUGGUAGUC